GACGAACGCUGGCGGCGUGCCUAAUACAUGCAAGUCGAACGCUUCUUUCCUCCCGAGUGCUUGCACUCAAUUGGAAAGAGGAGUGGCGGACGGGUGAGUAACACGUGGGUAACCUACCCAUCAGAGGGGGAUAACACUUGGAAACAGGUGCUAAUACCGCAUAACAGUUUAUGCCGCAUGGCAUAAGAGUGAAAGGCGCUUUCGGGUGUCGCUGAUGGAUGGGCCCGCGGUGCAUUAGCUAGUUGGUGAGGUAACGGCUCACCAAGGCCACGAUGCAUAGCCGACCUGAGAGGGUGAUCGGCCACACUGGGACUGAGACACGGCCCAGACUCCUACGGGAGGCAGCAGCAGGGAAUCUUCGGCAAUGGACGAAAGUCUGACCGAGCAACGCCGCGUGAGUGAAGAAGGUUUUCGGAUCGUAAAACUCUGUUGUUAGAGAAGAACAAGGACGUUAGUUACUGAACGUCCCCUGACGGUAUCUAACCAGAAAGCCACGGCUAACUACGUG
rnacentral:rRNA from 1 species